CUAACUUAAAUUUGUAUAGAGUUGGAACGUUUGCCUACGCUUGCCGCUAGGGGCGCUGUUCUAUCUGCAUACAAGUUAACUCAA
rnacentral:pre_miRNA from 1 species